GAUGAACGCUGGCGGCGUGCCUAAUACAUGCAAGUCGAGCGGACCAAAGAGAGCUUGCUCUCUGAGGUUAGCGGCGGACGGAUGAGUAACACGUGGGUCACCUGCCUGUAAGACGGGGAUAACUUCGGGAAACCGAAGCUAAUACCGGAUGAUAAAGAGAAACGCCUGUUUCUUUUUUGAAAGUCGGCCUUGUGCUGACGCUUACAGAUGGGCCCGCGGCGCAUUAGCUAGUUGGUGAGGUAACGGCUCACCAAGGCGACGAUGCGUAGCCGACCUGAGAGGGUGACCGGCCACACUGGGACUGAGACACGGCCCAGACUCCUACGGGAGGCAGCAGUAGGGAAUCUUCCACAAUGGGCGAAAGCCUGAUGGAGCAACGCCGCGUGAGUGAUGAAGGCCUUCGGGUUGUAAAACUCUGUCUUCUGGGACGAACGGCCAAGAGAGGGAAUGCUCUUGGAUUGACGGUACCAGAGGAGGAAGCCACGGCUAACUACGUGCCAGCCGCCGCCGUAA
rnacentral:rRNA from 1 species